rnacentral:rRNA from 1 species
AUUGAACGCUGGCGGCAGGCUUAACACAUGCAAGUCGAGCGGAGCGAGGGUGCUUGCACCUUAGCUUAGCGGCGGACGGGUGAGUAAUGCUUAGGAAUCUGCCUAUUAGUGGGGGACAACAUUCCGAAAGGAAUGCUAAUACCGCAUACGUCCUACGGGGGAAAGCAGGGGAUCUUCGGACCUUGCGCUAAUAGAUGAGCCUAAGUCGGAUUAGCUAGUUGGUGGGGUAAAGGCCUACCAAGGCGACGAUCUGUAGCGGGUCUGAGAGGAUGAUCCGCCACACUGGGACUGAAACACGGCCCAGACUCCUACGGGAGGCAGCAGUGGGGAAUAUUGGACAAUGGGCGGAAGCCUGAUCCAGCCAUGCCGCGUGUGUGAAGAAGGCCUUUUGGUUGUAAAGCACUUUAAGCGAGGAGGAGGCUACUAGUAUUAAUACUACUGGAUAGUGGACGUUACUCGCAGAAUAAGCACCGGCUAACUCUGUGCCAGCCGCCGCCGUAACAC